GGUGCGGAAGGCAGCAGCCCCGAGGCAGG
rnacentral:SRP_RNA from 11 species